AGUAAUCGGUUAUUAGUAGGUGCUACCCGACUUGGUUAUCGGCGUCUGUAAGAUCCACUGUCGGUCAGCCUUUAAAAUAGAUUAAUGUGUAUGACAUGUUCUUCUUUAAUUAAUAAAGAAAUGCACUUGUUGACAACUUGCUGUGGUAUAAGGGGAAUAAAACACUUCAGAAUGUGCAGUUCUACCUUAGGGUGGUAACGGUCACUCCACUUCAUUGGAUUGUUGACUACUUUCCUAUAACCGCAUGUUUAUUCCUUACAUAAAUUAAACACAAAUCAUGUAGGGGUUCUACAUGCAUGUAAUAUUUGCACAAUCAAUAACCUAUUAGAGUAAUACAUUGUGGUAUAUAAACUGAACUUUGUGUUUGAUGUGUCUGUAGUGUCCAAAGCCCGUGGUGGUGGCAGUGCAUGGCGUGUGUGUGGGAGCAGGUCUGUUGGGAGUGUUAAGUAUCAUCUCAUACACUCAGCAAACAAUAUGGAUGGAACUUUCCAGAAUUGUGGUAUCACUUUCCUGCAAAGCUUUAACCAUCAGAGAGUUAUCUUUUACUGGGGCUUUUAGCUGCAGGAGACUGAAUUACUAACAGUUUUUUUUUUGUGGAUCUGAUUUCUUCUUUCGCAGGAGUGGAUCUAAUCACAGUCUGUGAUAUUCGUCUGUGCACACAGGAUGCCUGGUUUCAGGUGAAGUCGUGUGUUGCCUGAUAGUCAAUGAUUGCUGGAGCUCUGGAAAUAGCAGGUGAGAUUGCAGGCCGGAGUCCCGUUGCUGUCCAGGGAACCAAAAUCAACCUCCUCUACUCCUGAGACCACAGUGUAACUGAGAGCCUAGACUACAUGGCUACUUGGAACAUGAACAUGUUGCAGACACAGGAUCUUAUGAAGUCAGCGCAGGCAGCCCUGGAAAAGAAGAGUCCGAAAGACGUGCCCUUCUCCAAGCUUUAAAGGAGAAGAUCCAGGGAUGUUGAAGCUGUGGUGGAACUGAGACUUCAUCAUCCACAUAUCUUUAAUUCUUCUUGCUAAGUCUGAGUUUCUUUUUAGUCUUUUUAUUUUUAGACUGGUCAAAAGACUGAUUAGUGGAAGUGAAAUGAUAGAUGAACUUUUAAUUACUUGCUUUAUUAUUUGCAGGUGCCUUGUACAGUAAGACAGUGUAACUAAUACUCAAAAGCUUGUUUUGUGUGUUAACAUGUACAGUAGAUGUACAUAUUUUUUCUGGUGCUGUGUGACUGCAGAAUGUAGUGCAGUUAGCACAUUAAAUUUCCUUGGAUGCUCACUUUUAACUCGAGGAGGUCACAGUUUGCCCAGACAUCUUUUAUUUAAAUCUGUCAAUCUGUCACCCACACGUCAUUCUGGGGGAAGAAGAGAAGGAAGCUGGACAGAUAAAUUUAUUUAUUUAUUUAUCAUUGCUGUGUUUCCUCAAUCGAGUGCAGAAAGAAGAAAAACAACACAACUGA